CGCCAGACUCCUACGGGAGGCAGCAGUGAGGAAUAUUGGUCAAUGGCCGGGAGGCUGAACCAGCCAAGUCGCGUGAGGGAAGACGGCCCUACGGGUUGUAAACCUCUUUUGUCAGGGAGCAAGGUGCAGGUCGGGACCUGCUGUGAGAGUACCUGAAGAAAAAGCAUCGGCUAACUCCGUGCCAGCAGCCGCGGUAAUACGGAGGAUGCGAGCGUUAUCCGGAUUUAUUGGGUUUAAAGGGUGCGCAGGCGGAGGUGCAAGUCAGGGGUCAAAUUGCGGGGCUCAACCCCGUCGAGCCGUUGAAACUGGCAGACUUGAGUUGGCGAGAAGUACGCGGAAUGCGCGGUGUAGCGGUGAAAUGCAUAGAUAUCGCGCAGAACUCCGAUUGCGAAGGCAGCGUACCGGCGCCAGACUGACGCUGAGGCACGAAAGCGUGGGGAUCGAACAGGAUUAGAUACCCCGGUAC
rnacentral:rRNA from 1 species